UACGAAGGGUGCAAGCGUUACUCGGAAUUACUGGGCGUAAAGGGCUCGUAGGCGGCCAACUAAGUCAGACGUGAAAUCCCCAGGCUCAACCUGGGAACUGCGUCUGAUACUGGCAGGCUUGAAUCCGGGAGAGGGAUGCGGAAUUCCAGGUGUAGCGGUGAAAUGCGUAGAUAUCUGGAGGAACACCGGUGGCGAAGGCGGCAUCCUGGACCGGUAUUGACGCUGAGGCGCGAAAGCCAGGGGAGCAAACGGG
rnacentral:rRNA from 1 species